GGUCCGGUGGUGUAGUUGGUUUAUCACAUGAGUCUAACACACUCAAGGUCCUCAGUUCGAGCCUGGGCCGGAUCA
rnacentral:tRNA from 5 species